rnacentral:rRNA from 1 species
GAUGAACGCUGGCGGCGUGCCUAAUACAUGCAAGUCGAGCGAACAGACGAGGAGCUUGCUCCUCUGACGUUAGCGGCGGACGGGUGAGUAACACGUGGAUAACCUACCUAUAAGACUGGGAUAACUUCGGGAAACCGGAGCUAAUACCGGAUAAUAUAUUGAACCGCAUGGUUCAAUAGUGAAAGACGGUUUUGCUGUCACUUAUAGAUGGAUCCGCGCCGCAUUAGCUAGUUGGUAAGGUAACGGCUUACCAAGGCAACGAUGCGUAGCCGACCUGAGAGGGUGAUCGGCCACACUGGAACUGAGACACGGUCCAGACUCCUACGGGAGGCAGCAGUGGGGAAUCUUCCGCAAUGGGCGCAAGCCUGACCGAGCAACGCCGCGUGAGUGAUGAAGGUCUUCGGGUCGUAAAACUCUGUUAUUAGGGAAGAAAAAAAGUGGAAGUAACUAUGCACGUCUUGACGGUACCUAAACAAAAAGCCACGGCUAACUACGUG